UACGUAGGUGGCGAGCGUUGUCCGGAUUUACUGGGUGUAAAGGGCGUGUAGGCGGGGUAGCAAGUCAGAUGUGAAAUACCAAGGCUUAACCUUGAGGCUGCACUUGAAACUGCUGCUCUUGAGUGUCGGAGAGGAAAGCGGAAUUCCUAGUGUAGCGGUGAAAUGCGUAGAUAUUAGGAGGAACACCAGUGGCGAAGGCGGCUUUCUGGACGAUAACUGACGCUGAGGCGCGAAAGCGUGGGUAGCAAACAGG
rnacentral:rRNA from 1 species